rnacentral:rRNA from 1 species
GGUGCUUGCACCAGGCGACGACCGGCGGACGGGUGAGUAACGCGUAUGCAACCUACCUAUUGCAGGAAGAUAGCCCGAGGAAACUCGGAUUAAUAUUCCAUAAUAUCAUUUUUACACAUGUAUUAAUGAUUAAAGCUACGGCGGCAAUAGAUGGGCAUGCGUACCAUUAGCUAGUUGGUGAGGUAACGGCUCACCAAGGUUACGAUGGUUAGGGGGUCUUAAAGGAUGAUCCCCCACACUGGUACUGAGACACGGACCAGACUCCUACGGGAGGCAGCAGUGAGGAAUAUUGGGCAAUGGACGCAAGUCUGACCCAGCCAUGCCGCGUGCAGGAUGACUGCUCUAGUAGUUGUAAACUGCUUUUCUAUUUCAUGAACCCCUCUGACGUGUCAGGGGCUGACAGUAGAAUAGGAAUAAGCAUCGGCUAACUCCGUGCCAGCAGCCGCGGUAAUACGGAGGAUGCAAGCGUUAUCCGGAUUUACUAGGUUUAAAGGGUGCGUAGGCGGGGUAUCAAGUCAGUGGUGAAAUCCUGCAGCUCAACUGUAGAACUGCCAUUGAAACUGAUAUUCUUGAGUAUAGUUGAGGUAGGCGGAAUGUGUUAAGUAGCGGUGGAAUGCAUAGAGAUAACACAGAACACCGAUUGCGAAGGCAGCUUACUAAACUAUUACUGACGCUGAGGUACGAAAGCGUGGGGAGCGAACAGGAUUAGAUACCCUGGUAGUCCACGCCGUAAACGUUGAUCACUAGUUGUUUGCGAUACAUUGUGAGCGACUGAACAAAAGCAUUAAGUGAUCCACCUGGGGAGUACGUUGGCAACGAUGAAACUCAAAGGAAUUGACGGGGGCCCGCACAAGCGGAGGAACAUGUGGUUUAAUUCGAUGAUACGCGAGGAACCUUACCUGGGCUUAAAUGUAAGACGACUAACAGGGAAACUUGUUAUCUUUCGAGCGUCCUACAAGGUGCUGCAUGGUUGUCGUCAGCUCGUGCCGUGAGGUGUCGGGUUAAGUCCCAUAACGAGCGCAACCC